GGGCUCGUAGCUCAGUUUGGUAGAGCAUCCGGCUCUUAACCGGAGCGCCGUGGGUUCGAAUCCCACCGGGCCCGCCA
rnacentral:tRNA from 1 species